rnacentral:lncRNA from 1 species
UCGGGCACUCGGCAAAGGCCCCUCUCGCACUCGGCAAAGGCUUUGCCGAGCGCCUGCUCGGUAAAAGCUGCUCGGCAAAGGGAUUUUUUGCCGAGUGCCACGUGUCAGACACUCUGCAAAGGCUUUGUCGAGUGCCAGAUCAACACUUGGCAAAGACAAAAACGAAAAAAUCCCAAAAAAUAAGAAAAAAUUUUAGGGAGAGGGCUGCCAUCAGCUAGCAUCUCCCCACUUUUACCAACAAAAUUUGCAACUUUACUGCAUCUGAGAUUCGAACCUAGAACCUCUCUCACAAGCACUUUACUCCUUAUUCACUGC